rnacentral:rRNA from 1 species
GACGAACGCUGGCGGCGUGCCUAACACAUGCAAGUCGAGCGGAGACAGUGAGUAGCUUGCUACGAGCUGUUUUAGCGGCGGACGGGUGAGUAACGCGUGAGCAACCUUUCCCAGACAGGGGAAUAACACACCGAAAGGUGUACUAAUACCGCAUAAGACCACGGGAUCACAUGGUUCUGGGGUAAAAGAUUUAUCGGUUUGGGGUGGGCUCGCGUCCGAUUAGGUAGUUGGUGAGGUAACGGCCCACCAAGCCGACGAUCGGUAGCCGACCUGAGAGGGUGAUCGGCCACAUUGGGACUGAGACACGGCCCAAACUCCUACGGGAGGCAGCAGUGGGGAAUAUUGGGCAAUGGGGGGAACCCUGACCCAGCAACGCCGCGUGGAGGAAGAAGGUUUUCGGAUCGUAAACUC